GCAUUAACAGUUUUAUUUUCUUUUUCUGUCAAAAUCUGUCCAUCUUGAAUUUUACAAGUAAUUUUGCUUUCUGACUUAAUCUUGCUAACCUUGAUCAUGAUAGCCAUUAUUAUUAUUAUUAUUAUUAUUAAGCAAAUCAACAAUGUUUUUUAUGACAGACCGACAGAAAAGAAAAAAGAGCUGCGAAAAUACAAUAUACGCUGUUCCUCAGGACAUCAAUCAAGCCCAAAGACUUAAUCAGAAUGCCACAGAAGAUGCUUCAGGUCUUUCUCCAAACUCCACCUAUGCUUUGGUAGGAUUUCCAACCGGAGCCACAGGAUCCACUGAGCCUACAAACACCACCCGGAUAGAGACCAUUUAUGCUGAAGUUAACAAAGCUCCAAAGUCCAACCAGCAACCAGAACUGAAAAACACAGAUAAUACAGAUAAUAUGUAUUCACAGGACUAAAUCAUGGUUUGUCAUGAUGGAUUCUAAGUCUGGUUUACCCAGAGUAGUCUUUGCGUAUCUCUUGAACUGUUCAUCCAGUUGACUCCGGACUUGGCAGGUGUAUGUCUGGGGAACAAAGAGAGUGCAGUGUUGAAUUUGGCGCAAUUUGGACAAGCAGCACAAUUAAUAUUAAUAAACUUAUACUCUGAAUAAACAAGCGAUUAAGCUCCGCUCUCUGCAGCUGCAGGGCGGGACUUCUGUGCUCUGUGACUACAUAUUAUGAUCAGAGCUGUGCAACCCUGCCAUGAGAGAAAGUAGGGGACGACAUCUCUCUUCCUUUGAUAACGUUAAAGGUUGGGCUUUAUUGUGGGUUUCCUGACUCAUUUAAGACAAGAGAAAGAGAGAGAGGGUGGGAGAGCUGAGAGCAGAAGUGAGCAACAGAUAGACAGGCUGGAAAGUUUUCUUUCAGAGAGAGAAAACUCAUGAAUGAAAGAAAUAAAAAGUUAUUUUCUGAUUGUUUGAUGUCGGUUACACUCUAAAGCAUAAAUAAACAACCAUUAAAUACUCAACAGGUGAUUUACUGUGAAGACAGACGCUCUUUUGGCACAUUUUGGACAUGUGACACAUUUAAUAUUAAUUAACUUUAAAUAAACAAGCGAACAGCGAGCCGCUCAGCUCAGUGUCAGUGCAGUGGGGGCUGUUUGAUAUAAACACUGUCAUAACCACAGCGGGGUGGGGCUUCUGGGCUCUGACUUGCUGAGCGGGACAAAGGCAUGUGCCCUGCUCAGUUUAACCGCCUGAGAGAAAAGUGUGAGCGCACACAGGAGAAAAUAAAGAGAGGCGAAGGCAGUAAAACUAGACAAUAGGAGUGUAGACAGGUUUGAUUUGCAGCAGAAUCAACCAACGGAAGGCUGUAAACUGCUUCUACGGUUCAACCUAUUUAGUCUCACUGGUGUAGUCUAUGUCUGGAUUCAACCAUUUAAUUUAUUAAAUCCUCAUCGUUUUAAUUGAUACGUUUGCCAAAUUUAUACAUAUAUAUGGUUCUUGAGAAAUAAUAAGCAAUCGGCACAUUUUGAAUGGGUACUUCACUAGUUAUGGAUAAAAUUAUGGCUGUUUGGUGACUUUGUUAAGGAAUCACUUUACAUUACCACAACAACAUCUAAGGGAUCAUCUAUUAUUGUCAACCAAGUGAGGAAGCAGAGGUGCUGGAAGUGCUUUUGUUGUCAGAAGACAAUGAAAUAUAGAGUUGUCUGUCAUCUGGAUAGGUAUGAUAGCCGAGGUUGUGUUUGAUAAGCCUGUAGAAUUUUAAUAUUGUUUUUUAAAACAUUGAAUUAAAGGAAUUUUAACAAU